AAAAAGAAGAAAAAAUGUAGAAGAAGAAAAGCAGGACAAAGACAGAGUAUUGGGUGACCUACGUUCCUGUGGUGGUGAACAUGACUGCGAGUUCUCCAGAAGACCAAAUGCUGAUCGUUGUCUGAGAUCCUAACCAGGACAACAAGGACAUCAUGGAGGAGAUCAUAUCAGAAGCUGGCAGGAGUCGGAAGCCCACUCUGCCAGUGGGAAAUGUCUUUUCCGUCCCUAUGCCUCUGCAGUUACCAGCAGAUGAUAAGAUUUAUUUGGGACGAAUUUCGGGGGACGACGGCUGAACUGGAAGAACGGCUGCGAUGGAGAAACUAGCGCUAGAGCCACAUCCGGAGCAUCAGUAAAACUCGACGCAGUGCCAGACUCGACUACAAACAAGCCUGCGCUAUCAGAGGAGGAAAUGGAGAAACGCUCUAAAUCCAUUAUUGAGGAGUUUCUACACAUAAAUGAUUACAAAGUAAUGAUCUCAUGCAGUGACCUUGACCAUGCUGGAGCGAAACCAGAUCACACGUGACCACGUGGGUCAUCUGUUCCAUCAGCUGCUGCAGGCUGGGAUCCUCUCCACAUCUCAGUUUUUUAAAGGGUUCUCAGAAACCCUCGAGAUAGCAGAUGAUAUGGCGAUUGACAUUCCUUAUGUAUGGCAGUACAUAGCGGAGCUCGUUAAUCCUGUGCUUCGGGAAGGAGGAAUCUCUUUGAGAGAAUUAUUAAUUGAAUUUAGCAAACCACUACUUCCUGUGGCAAGAGCCGGCAUAUUAUUUGCAGAAAUAUUGCAGCUUCUCUGCAAACAAAUGAGCCAAAAGGAAGUGGAGGCCUUAUGGAGGGACUCUAAACUGAGCUGUGCUGAUUUUCUUCCUGAAACCGUGGAUGGGAAUUUCAUUUGUUAGUAUAAGAACAUUGUCAGUGAACUCAAAUGGCAGCUCGUCUGAUCAGAAAAGAGAAAAGUGUUUGUGUUUGUGGUGUAAAAAGCAGUGUGUUGGUUGGUAGACUUGAUGCAGUUUUAUUUCUAAA